UCGUCCCAUUAAGCACACUCACAAGGUCUAAUCUCCUAUUGUAAUCUGAACAACGCUCUAUACGAACAUCUCCAAUAUAGUUCGUCCGAUAUUCGAGAGUAUUAGCAUUUAGUCAAGAGUCCGGGAGACAUUAAUGAGGCUAAAGGAACGCGGGAGACUGAAACAGACGGAAAUAUUGGAGGAGGAAAAGACAAGAGCACAAACACAGGGGCAGACGGAUGGCAGUUGGCGGUAAAUAUUUACCGAACCACGUGAUUUCGCUCAACACGACAAUAAUCAAGGAAAGGGCGGGAAAAUAACGUCGUGUUUUUCUCAGCUGCGACUCGUGACAGAUCAUGAUGUAGUAUGAAUAUAAAGGUGAGUUCUGGUCAUGUGAUUGCAUUGUGAAAGAAAAGGUGUGGAAUGAAUAAGAACAAGUCAAGUCGAUCAUGUAACAUGAACGUCGGGGGAAUAGCAUGAAUUCAUAGGGUCAUAAGUGGUCUAUAAACGGGUAGUCUAACUCACAGUAUAUCGUCACCAUGUGUUAAAGGAACUAUGUGGUGAGACAAAAUCGAGGAGAUAAGAAGUAUAAAGAACAUAAAAUAGUUCGGUGAGUAUACUUUCAUACAUUAGACAAAAUAGAUUAAACAUUUCUUCUAUAAGUAUUACAUGUAGAGAGAGAGAAAAAAAGGAGAGGGUUUGAGAGAGCAAAGAGAAAACGAAAACAUGC